rnacentral:rRNA from 1 species
UUUUUCAACUUUUGACCUCGGAUCAGGUAGGGAUACCCGCUGAACUUAAGCAUAUCA